rnacentral:other from 1 species
AGAUAGUUUCAGCAGGUAUUCACUAGGAUGGUGUUGCCAAGAAUGUUGAAACAACACAAGGAAAAAUCAUUAUCAGGACGAUGAUGACAAGGACUCCACUAGGGAAGGGUGGAACGCUAGUCAGGAAGAUCAGCGAACAAAGGAUGCUAAGGACACCGCUAGGAAGGCGAAGACAAGGAAAGCGCUUAAGGAUAAGCCGAUAUAUCAAGGAAUAGAUGCAGGGAGCACUUUACAGUAGCGGGAUUGCUGCAGAUAAAGAAAACGCCCUUAUAGUGAAAGCUAUAGGGGCUCUUUUUUUG